rnacentral:misc_RNA from 1 species
UAACUGCGCGCAGACGUGUGAACUGCAGGACACAUGAACACCGACGUUUUGAACGCAAAUGGCGGCUUGAAAUAAAUUUCAAGCCACGUCUGGCUGAGGGUCGGAUAAAAAAUCAAAACAACAAAUGCUUGCUGGAAAGGUUUCAGUCAAGAAUUUAUCGUCAAGUUUUAUUAAAGCUUGAUUAGAAUAUUCAAUUGUAUGUGCUGAAGUUUGUUUCAAUGUUUAAUGAACAAACAUCAGACUCAUGUAAUACAAAAGUCUGUGGAAAAGCUAACUUGCAAUUGAAAAAGUUUUCAUUGAAAAAUGGAAAAAACUCUUAUAUACGACCUCAGAGUAGGCGAGAUUACCCGCUAAAUUUAA